CAGGAUGAACGCUAGCGGCAGGCUUAACACAUGCAAGUCGAGGGGCAGCGGGAUGUAGCAAUACAUUGCCGGCGACCGGCGGAUGGGUGCGUAACGCGUAUGCAACCUACCUUAUACAGGGGAAUAACCUUUCGAAAGGGAGACUAACACCCCAUAGUAUUGAUUUAAGGCAUCUUAGAUUAAUUAAAUAUUUAUAGGUAUAAGAUGGGCAUGCGUAUGAUUAGCUAGUUGGUAAGGUAACGGCUUACCAAGGCGACGAUCAUUAGGGGUUCUGAGAGGAAGGUCCCCCACACUGGUACUGAGACACGGACCAGACUCCUACGGGAGGCAGCAGUGAGGAAUAUUGGUCAAUGGGCGCAAGCCUGAACCAGCCAUGCCGCGUGCAGGAAAGACGGCCUUAUGGGUUGUAAACUGCUUUUACAUAAGACUAACCGUAUAUUUGCGAAUAUACCUGAAUGUACUAUGAGAAUAAGGAUCGGCUAACUCCGUGCCAGCAGCAGC
rnacentral:rRNA from 1 species